rnacentral:rRNA from 1 species
GACGAACGCUGGCGGCGUGCUUAACACAUGCAAGUCGAGCGGUAAGGCCCUUUCGGGGGUACACGAGCGGCGAACGGGUGAGUAACACGUGGGUGACCUGCCCUCAGCUCUGGGAUAAGCCUGGGAAACUGGGUCUAAUACUGGAUAUGACUCCACGGUGCAUGUCGUGGGGUGGAAAGCCUUGUGCGGCUGAGGAUGGGCCCGCGGCCUAUCAGCUUGUUGGUGGGGNGAUGGCCUACCAAGGCGACGACGGGUAGCCGGCCUGAGAGGGCGACCGGCCACACUGGACUGAGACACGGCCCAGACUCCUACGGGAGGCAGCAGUGGGGAAUCUUGCGCAAUGGGCGAAAGCCUGACGCAGCGACGCCG